GACGAACGCUGGCGGCGUGCUUAACACAUGCAAGUCGAACGGAAAGGCCCUGCUUUUGUGGGGUGCUCGAGUGGCGAACGGGUGAGUAACACGUGAGUAACCUGCCCUUGACUUUGGGAUAACUUCAGGAAACUGGGGCUAAUACCGGAUAGGAGCUCCUGCUGCAUGGUGGGGGUUGGAAAGUUUCGGCGGUUGGGGAUGGACUCGCGGCUUAUCAGCUUGUUGGUGGGGUAGUGGCUUACCAAGGCUUUGACGGGUAGCCGGCCUGAGAGGGUGACCGGCCACAUGGGGACUGGGAUAGGGCCAAGACUCCUACGGGGGGCAGCAGUGGGGAAUAUUGCACAAUGGGCGGAAGCCUGAGGCAGCAACGCCGCGGGCGGGAUAACGGCCUUGGGGUGGUAAACCGCUUUCGCCUGUGACGAAGCGUGAGUGACGGUAAUGGGUAAAGAAGCACCGGCUAACUACGUG
rnacentral:rRNA from 1 species